rnacentral:rRNA from 1 species
UACGUAGGAGGCAAGCGUUGUCCGGAAUUACUGGGCGUAAAGCGCGUGUAGGUGGUGGGACAAGUCUGCUGUGAAAGCGCCUGGCUUAACCGGGCGAGGUCGGCGGAAACUGUCCGACUCGAGGACGGUAGAGGGGGUGGAAUUCCCGGUGUAGUGGUGAAAUGCGUAGAUAUCGGGAGGAACACCUGUGGCGAAAGCGGCUCACUGGACCACAACUGACGCUGAGGCGCGAAAGCUAGGGGAGCAAACAGG